rnacentral:rRNA from 1 species
CUACGGGGGGCAGCAGUGGGGAAUAUUGGACAAUGGGGGCAACCCUGAUCCAGCCAUGCCGCGUGAGUGAUGAAGGCCUUAGGGUUGUAAAGCUCUUUCGCCAGUGACGAUGAUGACGGUAACCGGAGAAGAAGCCCCGGCUAACUUCGUGCCAGCAGCCGCGGUAAUACGAAGGGGGCUAGCGUUGUUCGGAAUGACUGGGCGUAAAGCGCACGUAGGCGGCUUGUUUAGUCAGAGGUGAAAUCCCGGGGCUUAACCCCGGAACUGCCUUUGAUACUGGCAGGCUUGAGCCCGGAAGAGGGUGGCGGAAUACCCAGUGUAGAGGUGAAAUUCGUAGAUAUUGGGUAGAACACCGGUGGCGAAGGCGGCCACCUGGUUCGGUGCUGACGCCGAGGUGCGAAAGCGUGGGGAGCAAACAGGAUUAGAUACCCUCGUAGUC